rnacentral:lncRNA from 1 species
AAAAUCCUAAAUACACCGUUUGGUGGUGCGCCUGUCAAAUGCGGAACGUACAGAUAAGGUAAUAGGUAACAGGUGAAUAUACUAUUGGUAUCGGUAUCGGAUUCAACCCGGAACUUGUUAAUUAUUGGCAAUAUUAAUUAUGUGGAAAACAAAAGGGUCUGGAGUGGUGUAAUUUUUAAUCUACACUAUUGUCCUAUAUUAGCUAUAUAAAGAGUUGAAUUCUUUGAUUUGUCGUUUUUACCCGAUGACGGCUGACAAAUUGGACCUCGUAAUUUUAGUAUUAUAGAU